GGAGGAAUACCCAAGUCUGGCUGAAGGGAAUGGUCUUGAAAACCAUCAGGCGGGUUAAACCGCGCGGGGGUUCGAAUCCCUCUUCCUCCU
rnacentral:tRNA from 1 species